UCAGUGGAAAGGGACGGGCUUUAGGGAACACCGAGCUGGUGUUUUGAGCAGUGAUGACACCCACUGGAGCGGGGUGAUUAGGUGGGUGGACCCAGGCUAUGUGGGUCUGGAAUGUCAAAGUGAUUGUCAGAACACAAUUGCAAGAUACGGAACUCUUAACACAGAGCCAUCUUAAUUAAAUGGAAUUUACUGGUUCCCAUAACUGAAAAGGUGACUUGGCUAGAUCUUGGGACCCAAUGACGUGAAGGCGUGAUUUCUCUCCGUCUCUCGGCUCUGCUCCUUGGUCAGGCAGUCUCUCUCCAAAGGUGGUGAAGAUGGCCCCCGGCAGCCCCAGGCUGACACUAACCUCUUGUUUAAGGACCAGGAUGGGUCUCUUUUGCCAAGCUAAGAUCAUGUCCCUUUCCCUAAACUGUGGCCAAGGACGUGGAGCUUCAUCCUAUCACCGGGGACAUGGAUGGUUACACAUGGGGUCUUGGAUUCAGAGGUGGCGCCACCAGCGUUGGUUGGGAUGUGUGAGCACGAGGGCGAGGCCUACACCAGUCAGAGAUCCUUGCUGGCAUGAGCCUACGGGAUGGAGAUGGGAUGCCUGUAAUCUCCCCCUCAGCCCUCCUCACUGUGACAACAGGACAUGUGGCCACCAACCAGCUCUGCUCUCUUACAGCAGCUCCGUGUGUCCUAUCUUUCUUGGAACAGGUCUGGGCCUUGAAAUCAGGCUUGCCCACCUUCUAACAGGCAAACUGGGCCUUGAUUACCCUGGCCCUGUCUUCAGGAAUUGUGUCUUUUCCUUCUCUCUUACACUUGCCCCUUUCUUCCAGCUCCAUUCCCGGGCCCACCCAGCUUCUGACUUUCUCGUCUUUGUUCUUUUCUGCUUUGAGCUCAGUGCUUCUCUUGAGUGGUGUUUGGCACCCCUGAAGACACUGCCUGCAGGCAUCCUGGCUGUUUGGGGGAACCACCCACCUAAACCCAGUCCCACCCCCCAACCCCACCAUCUCCAUCUGGAAGUCAGCCCAGUGGGAUGGGGAGGGAGCAGGCCCCAGCGCAUGAGCAGAAGGCAGCGGGGCUGAUGCCACGUGCCAGCAUUAGGGUACGUUUUUGCAUUAAUUCCUCAGAACUGAAAUUUCUUCUGAUCUUGGAGUGAUGCCUCUUCACCACAUGUUCAGUAGCUAACAUACGUCUCCCCCAACCCUGGACCUACGUACUUCAGAAAGAUGUUGAGAAUUUGGAGAGAGUCCAGGUAAGCAUUCUAUGUGGAUGAAAGAUGGGGAGAAAAGUAAACAGCUCUAGAGAAAAGGAUGGAAUAGCAAUCUGAAACGUGUGAGGAGAUAGUUACCAACAAGGUGUGACCUUUAAAAGGCCCUGCUCUCUGGGACUCAGUUUCCUCAUCUGUAAAUGAGGGGCUGACCUGGAUGACUUUAAAGUUCCUGCCAUCCCUAAUCUCCAACUACCUGAGAGGGGGAUCCCACCCUCCAGAUCCACUCUGAGGGAUCAAGAAGGAAUGACUUUGAAUUUAUUUUAAGCAUUAAAAAUAUAUAUAUAUUUA
rnacentral:lncRNA from 1 species